UACGGAGGAUGCAAGCGUUAUCCGGAAUGAUUGGGCGUAAAGCGUCCGCAGGUGGCUGUGUAAGUCUGCUGUCAAAGAGCAAAGCUCAACUUUGUAAAGGCAGUGGAAACUACACGGCUAGAGUGCGUUCGGGGCAGAGGGAAUUCCUGGUGUAGCGGUGAAAUGCGUAGAGCUCGGGAAGAACAUCGGUGGCGAAAGCGCUCUGCUGGACUGCAACUGACACUCAGGGACGAAAGCUAGGGGAGCGAAUGGG
rnacentral:rRNA from 1 species